CCCCGGCCCCGCACUCCCCUUCUCCCCACACCCAGCGACCCUCCACCGCUCCUCCGCUGCCGGCCCCGCACGCCCCUCCUCCCACCGCACCGCUUCCCCGGCCCCGCAGCGCCCCCUCGCCCCUUCUCUCCGCUCCCCUGCGCCCACCCGACCCUGCAGCGCCCCUUCUGCCCCGGCGCCGCUCCCCACACCGCCCCUUCCCUGCCCGCACCGGCUGUGCUGCCCUCUGCCGUCGUCGCUGUCGCUGUCGUCUCUCUCGCUGCGCUCCCGCUUCCUCCCUCGCCUUGUGCCCCACAGCACACGGCUGAUCAGCCCCCCCAUCGCCCCGGAACGGGCCCGGGGACCGGGAGCUCCGGCCGGAACCGGCGGCUGUGCCUCGGCAGCGCCCGCUACUUGCACCGGCACCGGCAGCGUCUGCUUCGGAACGGCCGGGACAGAAUCACCAGGUUGGAAAGGACCCACUGGAUCAUCGAGUCCAACCAUUCCUAACACUCCCUAAACCAUGUCCCUCAGCACUUCAUCCACCCGUUCCUUAAACACCUCCAGGGAAGGCGACUCAACCCCCUCCCUGGGCAGCCUCUGCCAGUGCCCAAUGACUCUUUCUGUGAAGUAUUUUUUUUCUGAUAUCCAACCUGAACCUCCCCUGGCGGAGCUUCAGGCCAUUCCCUCUUGUCCUGUCCCUUGUCACUUGGGAGAAGAGCCCAGCUCCCUCCUCUCCACAACCUCCUUUUAGGUAGUCGUAGAGAGUAAUAAGGUCUCCCCUCAGCCUCCUCUUCUCCAGGCUAAACAACCCCAGCUCUCUCAGCCGCUCCUCGUCAGACGUUCUCCAGCCCCUCACCAGCUUCGUUGCUCUUCUCUGGACACGCUCCAGAGCCUCAACAUCCUUCUCGUGGUGAGGGGCCCAGAACUGAACACAGUAUUCGAGGUGCGGUCUCACCAGUGCCGAGUACAGAGGGAGAAUCCCCUCCCUGGACCUGCUGGUGACCCCAUUUCUGAUCCAAGCCAAGAUGCCGUUGGCCUUCUUGGCCCCCUGGGCACACUGCUGGCUCAUGGUCAGUCGCUGUCAACCAUCACCCCCAGGUCCUUCUCCUCCGUGCAGCUCUCCAGCCACUCUUCCCCCAGUCUGUAGCUGCACAGGGUUGUUGUGCCCCAAGUGCAGGACCCGGCAUUUGGCCUUGUUGAACCUCAUGCCAUUGGCCUCGGCCCAGCGGUCCAGCCUGUUCAGAUCCCUUUGCAGAGCCUCCCUACCCUCCAGCAGAUCCACACUUCCUCCCAGCUUAGUGUCAUCUGCAAUUGUUUAACAGGUAGCAGUCCUUGGUUGUUACAGCAUUUUCGUGGCAUCUUCUUCCUCCUCUGAUUCCUCGCCAGCCCGACAGCUCGGGCCGCCCCGCACUUGAUCAGCGCAGCCGCUACUGUGGGCACUUCCGGUUCCUGUGUCAUUGCACUUCCGCCCUCUGAUGGGUGAACAUCGGGUGCCUCCGGCGCAACGGGGCCGUUUAUGUCCUCAGACGCAUUCCCCCUUUUUACAGUCGGAUUUAAGAGCUCGCAGACGCCGGUACAAACUUUCCCAGUCAUUCCUUUCAUUGGGUAAUUCUGGCUCACCCCAAAGAAAGCACUCGUACGACUCGUGGUGCGAUGAGGUUCAGCCGGGGGAUUGGGGGGGGCUGUGGCGCGCACAGCGGCAGCGGCGACUUUUGACUCCGCCUUCAGCGCUUGUAAAGUAUUAAGGACAGUUCGCCAAGUUUCCCCACAGCCCCCAAAAGGCUCUUUGCCCCUUUUCGUGAUCGUGCAGUCCCCUCGAACAGCUUUAACUUCCUUUUCAUCCUUAUCUGUUCUUGAUAUAGUCUUUUGCCACAACGUUUCUCCAGGACCUGGACAGGACACCUUACAGGCAGCCCCUGGGCCUUGCAGAGGAGGUUGUGGUCUGAGAGCAUCAGGAAAUCAUAGAAUUGUUUGGUUGGAAAAAAACUUUGAGAUCAUCAACACAGUUGUACCUGUCGAGUGCUAAAUCAUAUUCCUAAGCAUGAAGCUGGAGCGUGCAGGCCUGUGCUUGCCGAUGCCUCCAGCCUGGCAGCUCUCUCUCCAUCCAUCCAUCCACCUUUCUCCAUUGUCUGUAGUCCUGCUGGAGCUGCUGUUGGGGGCAGCUCUGCAGGUGUGUGUGCAGGGGGUUGUUCCCUGUUGGCACCUGCAGCCCAGGGCAAGUUACACCAGCAGCUCUUCUUUCCCCCGCUGUGCCCUGCAGCUUCUCCGCCGUCAUGCACAAAACAGUGAAGCAGUUGUCUCCAAAGUGCGAGGUGACCUUCCUCCAGUCGGAAGAUGGCAGCGGCAAGGGCGCAGCGCUCAUCACGGCGGUGGCCUGCCGGAUCCGGGAGGCUGGCCAGCGACAGGAGGAAGGAGGUUUGCCGAAGAGCUUGGUUUCAGCAGAACAGGACGUUUCCCCCCCACCCCCGGUCCCUCCCUCCGCACACACACAUACGAGGCCUCCCCUUGCAAGCAGACUCUCGGCUUUACUUGUUCCCGCGAGAUACCACCAGUGGGACUGGAGAUGCUGUGUACUUUAUAGAAAGAGCUGUCGUAGGAGUUUCAUUGCAUGCCAUAAAACCGCGUGUCGAGUAAAGCUCAAAGCGUCUUUUGGCUGUCUGCCUACAUUCCCAGUUAGAGCUGGACCUGUUCCACUUGCAGCCUCCAUCAAACACCAGCUCUCCUCCCCACAUCUCCUAACCACUCUCCCACCUUCCCAAACAGCAGAAAGGGUAAUGCUGGAAUAAUUAAGACACUGCAUUGUCACUUUACAGUAACCGGUACCUAUUUAUGUCUGUCGUAGCGUGUCCAUGCUGUAGAAAGCAAACCUCUCCAAGAUUGGGCUAAAGACCUCCGUUAGUCUUUUACCCUGAUCAAGGCUGUAUUAUUUCCAUGAAAGUCAUGGUAACUUUUCAAGCACAGGGUGCAGAAUUCCAACCGGCGUGUUCCGGGUCUGCACUGGGAGAUACCAGGUAUCUCUGUUGGUGAGCAAUAUUAAAGAACCUGCUGGCUCCGAGUUAGAGGCGCCCCUUUAACGGCGCCAGCAGAGCACGUGCCUGGAAAUAAUUGGGGACUCGGGGUCUAAUCCCAUUUCCCGACCUCUCACCUCACCUGCACCCUAGAGUGUAGUCACGUGGCAUGUCCGUAUGGUUGUGUUGCACCUCUGAAAACCACUGGCACCCUUCCCUGGUGCAUGUGCGGAUACAGGAACCACCACCCGGCCGGGUCGCUCUCUUCCCUGCAGAUCCGCACAUCGUGGCCGUGUGUCUGUGCUUGGCGCGGUGAGUUUGGUUUGCUUUUUGUCUGUGAAAUAGUUCUGCGUCUUCAACCUUUUAGGUGACACCUGGAUUUACACACUGUAUAUUUAUGUUUCAAGAGAUCUGAUGUCUUUGUAUGUACAUAGUCUGGGGGUUAUAUUGCUUAGUUUUGGCUUCACCUUUCGAUGUCCCUGAAGAAUGGUAUAGAGAACUUAUUUUCUUUUUCUCUCGUGGUAUUUUUUUAAUUUAAAUUCUUUUUAGGGUAGAUUGGAGAGAGAGACACCCAUAUUCCUGAGGAUGGGCAUUCUGAAUUCAUCACCAGGACAAAAGGGAAACUAAGAAGGCAGGGAUGCGCAGCGCGGGGAGCAGUCGGGCCCUGCAGCAGCGAAGCUUUCAGGAUUAGGCUGGGAGGACCUGAGGAGAGGUUUUUCUUUUGUCCCGCUGCCCUCAUCGCUCUGGAAGGCGCCGCUGUUCCCUGUGGCAGCACGGGGUAAAAUAACGUCGGGCCCCCUCGCAUUGUCCCGGGACAGCAAACCGCGGCUCGAGCACCGCUGGGGUGCGUGUUUCGCAGCGAGACGCUGGCAAAACCAAUCCCAACUCCUUCCAUCAAGUAAGCAGCAAUAGCUGAUGUCACUCCAUGGCCCUUUGGCAUCCUCAGGGCUGUCGGCAAGCGCUCCUGGGGCCGUGGGUGCCCAUAGCAUCAUUUUGUGUGUCCCAGGGAAAAGCAGUGAUUAAUUCUUGCCUUAGAAUUAAGACGCCUUAGGACAAAGCUGCAGCAAUGCUGGAGCGGGCGGAGGCACAUGGGAGGGGCUGUAAAUAUUUAGCAGAAGAGAAUGAAGUUCCGAUUCUGUACAACUAUAAUAAUUAAUAAUUCCCAGGAGCAGACCUUCACUUUGGAGGACAGAGUUUUUGUUUAUUUUGAUGUAUAUUUUUACACUGCUUGGGGUACCCUCAUUCCCAGGAGUCUCUCUGCUGUCUUGGGGGUCACGUGCAGUAGCACAAUUUUAAAGCAAAAAUCACUCUUCGGGCAUUUUAAAUGCUUAUUUUUAUAUAAGCCUCAAGACAAUUAUAACAAAGCAAAUCUGACUGUGUAUAGAAACAAUGUAAGAAACCAAGUUCAGUGAAAAGUUUUAGAAGAUGUUAAAUAAAUUUUGGAAAGAUGAUCCCCCCCCCCCUUCUCCCCACACCCAGCGCCCCUCCACCGCUCCUCCGCUGCCGGCCCCGCACGCCCCUCCUCCCACCGCACCGCUUCCCCGGCCCCGCAGCGCCCCCUCGCCCCUUCUCUCCGCUCCCCUGCGCCCACCCGACCCUGCAGCGCCCCUUCUGCCCCGGCGCCGCUCCCCACACCGCCCCUUCCCUGCCCGCACCGGCUGUGCUGCCCUCUGCCGUCGUCGCUGUCACUGUCGUCUCUCUCGCUGCGCUCCCGCUUCCUCCCUCGCCUUGUGCCCCACAGCACACGGCUGAUCAGCCCCCCCAUCGCCCCGGAACGGGCCCGGGGACCGGGAGCUCCGGCCGGAACCGGCGGCUGUGCCUCGGCAGCGCCCGCUACUUGCACCGGCAGCGUCUGCUUCGGAACGGCCGGGACAGAAUCACCAGGUUGGAAAGGACCCACUGGAUCAUCGAGUCCAACCAUUCCUAACACUCCCUAAACCAUGUCCCUUAGCACUUCAUCCACCCGUUCCUUAAACACCUCUCUGUCGGAGGAGAGAGGGUGAAAAUUCCUGGUCACAACGCGAUGUGGAGUAUGAGAGUCCAGUUAUGGAUCUUGUUGACAUCUCUAACCAGUCUGACGUCUUUCUGACUCGAAGCAAAGAAAAGGCAUCUCAGUGCAGGUGAUGGCUCUGUGUGGGACAGGGGGACAUCAAUAAAGCCAAAGACUGUGGGGCUGCUAACAGGAACAAGAGACUGUAGAUUCACCUGAUGUUGUUAUUUCGUGUUUACAAUAUUUAUUUUUAGUAACUGACUGCUAUUAUAUUAUAGAGAGGCUUCCUUAUUUUUGUACUUCUCCUCCCGGUUUCCUCAGUGUGGUGGUGUACCUCUCAAACAACAUCAAAUCCAACUUCAAUUCCAUUACAUAGCCAUUCCUACACCUUCAGCAGAUCCCCUCUCUGUGAUGACACACAACACACUACUCAGAAACAGGAUCUUAUUCCUCUCACCAGUCCCUGUGAGGCUCCUUGGCUUUGUAACUCCUCAUUUUCAUAAGUAUUUGCCAUUUUAGUAAACAGCAUCAUAAAAAGGCAAUCCUCGCCUUCUCGCAUCUGCCAUGAACAGAGAGAGCAGCACCUUCCUGUCAUUUACCAAACUACACACAGUCACUGGAGAGACGAGGGACACCAACAUUCCGACUGAGACAGUCUGUUCAACAAGGCAGAGAAGUCCUCAUUUCAUGGAGCGUUAUUUUUAACCUACAGAAGCAUUUUACCUAUAGCAACAGAGUUCCAAUGACAGAGCAUGAAUUGAGAUACAAAUCUGACGGACAUGAUCGGUAACUCCGCCACAAAAUUCCACCUCACAAGACCAUCACUGGUACAAUCAGGCCUCGCCAAAACCAAUUCCCAACUUUCAAAUUCUGUUCAAAAGUGAUUUAAUACUCAGUUUUAGUCAUCAACCCACACUAAGUUUUCAGGACAAGCUUCACCAACUCGAGACGUAGCAACAAGUCGAACAGGUCAAGGGAGGGGAUUCUGCCCCUCUGCUCCUCUCUUGUGAGGCCCCACCUGGAGCCCUGUGUCCAGUUCUGGAACCCCCAAUGUAAGAAGGAGAUGGAACUGUCGGAAUGGGUCCAGAGGAGGCUACAAAGAUGAUCAGAGGGCUGGAGCACCUCUGCUAUGAGGACUGGCUGAGAGAGUUGGAGUUACUCAGGCAGAGAGGAGAAGGCUCUGAGGAGACUCUAGAGCAGCUUCCAGGACUGAAAGGGGCUCCAGGAAAGCUGGGGAGGGACUUUUUACAAGGGCAUAGAACAACAGAAGGAGAGAAAAUGGCUUUAAAUUGGAAGGGAGAAGAUUUAGACUAAACAUUAGGAAGAAAUUCUUCACAAUGAGGUUAGUGAGCCACUGGCCCAGGUUGCCCAGAGCAGUGGUGGCUGCCCCAUCCCUGGAAGUGUUCCAGGCCAGGUUAGAUAGGGCUUGGAGCCCCUGAUCCAGCUGGAGGUGUCCCUGCCCAUGGCAGGGGGUGGAACUGGAUGGGCUUUGAGGUCCCUUCCAACCUAAACCAUUCCGUGAUUCUAUGAUUCCAACAACAGAAUCGCAACGACGAUGACUAAAAACACCAUCGCCAGGCACAGCCAGGGCUGAAGCGGCACCAGCCCCCCUAGGAUGCUGUGCACCCUCGGUCUGAGCACCUAGCCCCGCUGCCAUCCUCCGUUCCCUGCAGAGGGUCAAUGGGGCGGAGGAGAAAUGCAGCCGCACCCACCUGCUCCAACCUACCCUUAGCCCUAGCCAGAGGCGGCCGUGGGUCAGUCCUUGGCUACAGCCAAAUGACCUCCCUGCCCUCUUGUUGUGAUCUUUAACAGGUUCCAACACCCGCAAAAUAAAAUGCUUUUUCCUACAGGAGAGCAAUGACAGUUCCCAGGUAAUUUCUGUACCGGCACUGGAAUCACAGCACUGAUAAAUCGAUGGAUGUGAUCUAUCCGGACUUCUGUAAAGCCUUUGACACAGUCCCCAUAACAUCCUUCUCUCUAAAUUGGAGGGAUAGGGAUUUGACGGGUGGAUGGUACAGUGGAUAAGAAACUGGUUGCAUGGUCGUAUUCAGAGAGUAGUGGUCAGUGGCUCAAAGUCCAGAUGGAGAUCCCUGACAAGUGGUGUCCCUCAGGGGUCCAUACUGGGACUGGUGCUGUUUAAUAUCCUUAUCAAUGAUAUAGACACCGAGAUUGAGUGCACCCUCAGCAGGUUUGCAGACGACAUCAAGCUGAGUGGGGCAGUUGCCACACCGGAAGGAUGGGAUGUCAUCCAGAGGGACCUGGACAGGCUGGAGAAGUGGGGGCUGUGAGAACCUCAAGAGGUUCAACAAGGCCAAGUGCAAGGUCCUACACCGGGGUCAGGGCAAUCCCUGAUCUCAGUACACGAUGGGAGAUGAUGUGACUGAGAGCUGCCCUGCAGAGAAGGACUUGGGGCGCUGGUCAAUAAGAAGAUCAACAUGAGCCGGCAACGUGCGCUCGCAGCCCAGAAACCAACCGUGGCCUGGGCUGCAUCCAAAGCAGCGUGGCCAGCAGGGCGAGGGAGGGGAUUCUGUCCCUCUAUUCCUCUCUUGUGAGACCUCAUCUGGAGAAUUGUGUCCAGUUCUGGAAUCCUCAACGUAAGAAAGAGAUGGAGCUGUUGGAACGGGUCCAGAGGAGGCUACAAAGAUGAUCUGAGGGCUGGAGCACCUCCCAUAUGAGGAGAGGCUGAGAGAGACAGGCUGAGAGAGUUGGGGUUGUUCAGCCUCAAGAAGAGAAGGCUCCGAGGAGAUCUUAUAGCGACCUUCCAGUACAUGAAGGGGCUACAAGAAAACUGAAGAGGGACUAUUCAUAAAGGCUUGUGGUGACAGGAUGACGGGGAACGGGUAUAAACUGGAGAGGGGCAGAUUUAGACUGGACAUUAGGAAGAAUUUCUUCACCGUGAGAGUGGUGAGACACUGGAACAUGUUGCCCAGGGAAGUUGUGACUGCCCCAUCCCUGGAGGGGUUCAAGGCCAGGUUGGAUGGGGCUUGGAGCCCCUGAUCCAGUGGGAGGUGUCCUUGGGCAGGGGAUGGAACUGGAUGACCUUUUACUCUUCUUGCUUCAAAUGGAUUCUUCCAGGCUCAGGCUCCCACUUUACAACCAACAGCAUAAUGGAAUCAGAUAUUUCAAGACAAAGGUGUGGCUUCUCCCUGCUCCUGUCACAUGACUCAAGAUAGCAGCACCUCUUUGCUCCCAAAACACAGAAAGUAACACAGAGAACUUCACCCUCUCACAAGCCCAAAAUAAAACACCUGUGGAAACAGCACCAUUUUUUUGCAGAUGAGCACUAAGAUUCAUUCCUUUUCAGAGCUUCUGUGCAAUAAAACAGCAAGAGAGCCUUCAUUCAAAGACAAAGGCUGCGUAAAAAAUACAGAGACCUAAGGUUCCUACACUCGAGUUCCAUCGGACAGCUAUGCUUCCUAACAUUACUAUUGAAAAUACGAUGUUUAACUGCAUCAGAAAUGUAAGACAAAAAAGAGAAAAAAGGAAAAAUCUCAAGUAGGAGGGCAGACUGGGAGAGCUGGGGUUAUUCAGCCUGGAGAAGAGAAGGCUCUGGGGAGACCUUAGAGCAGCUUCCAGUAUGGAAAGGGACUCCAGGAAAGCUGAGGAGAGGUUCUUGACCAGGGAGUGCAGGGACAGGACAAGGGGGAGCAAUUUUUGGCUGCAAGAGGGGAGAUUGAGAUGACAUCUGAGGAAGAAAUGUUUCCCUCUGAGGGUGGGGAGGCCCUGGCCCAGGUUGCCCAAAGCGGUGGUGGCUGCCCCAUCCCUGGAGGGGUUCCAGGCCAGGCUGGAUGGGGCUUGGAGCCCCUGAUCCAGUGGGAGGUGUCCCUGCCCAUGGCAGUGGGGUGGGACUGGAUGGGCUUUGAGAUCCCUUCCAACCCAAAUCAUCCCAUGAAUCUGUGAUUAGCGGCUGUAUUUUUAAACUCUUAUCCAGUUGGGCGCCUCCUGGAACACGUAGUGUUUUCAUCGGUUAGUGAGGUAAAUUUUAUACAGCUUUAGUUUGGGAGGAGAGUGGAAAAGAGUGAGACUGUGGGCAGCUGAUUCCGGCUCCCGUGCAGCAAAUUGUUGGAGUGGGUGACUGAAAGGGUGAGAAGAUGCGGGUGGUUCAGUACCCGGUUAGCGGGGACGAGUGGAGCGGGGUAACCUCGCUGCCCGUGCCUCUCCGCAGCACAGACUGGGGCUGUAGCCUCGCAGCGGUGGGAAGGAUUGACUCUACCCUCAGAGGGUGGUGGGGAACAGCCGAGCGCUGUCUCCUCUCCUGGAACAGAGAAAGGGAAGACCGUGCAGCUCCUCCCCUGGAGCUAGAGCUUCUUGGUCUGCCCCACAGUGCCUGGGCUGGGCCAGUAUCGGCUCUGUGGGGCUAACGAGGCGAGGGAGACGUGCUGGAGCUCAAGGAUACAGACUGAAGCAUUCUGUGAGGUCAGGGAGGGUUUUGGGCUGGGCUUGGUCCGAUGGAAUCCCACCUGGAUACCACCCAGGCUCUCAUAAUGCUUGAGAACCUUUGCUUCCCCCUCACUUUGUCUCAGAAUCAAGCAGGGGCUGAAGUGUUUCCAGGUAAACAGCAACACUCGGAGUGUUUCAAGACCCCAUCAUUAUGGCGUGGCUGCAGGGAUGCCCUUGGCCCUGGCUGUGAGAAAGGGUUUUAUUAAAGAUGAAGAGACAUUUGUGCUCCUCUUCAAAGAGGAUGAGUAGCAUUUGCUGCACAGUCCGAUUGUCACUCUGGUGGGACUGUAACCUACAUGAGCACAGUGCCCUGGGACAGUCUGUGAACGUGUUUAAAAUGAGAAGGGAAGGUGAAAUCGUAACAAUUAAUAUGAAGGGAAGAUCAGAUCUGUUCUACGUAGGGAGGGAUGGACAAGACCGAUCAGCUUGACUUGCUCGAUCUGUCUCUCCUCCAGUCGGAAGCACUGCUUUGUGCAUUCAGGAUGGCUUUUGUCUCACUUGGUUUUUCCCAUGAGGAUGCAUUUUCUUUGCACUCCUGGUGGUGUGCUGGCACAUUCUCCGGCCACAUGGGCAGCAGGAGAACAGGGUCUUCCAUGGGGUCGGCUGCUGUGCCAGAGGCUCUGACAUCUCCCUGGUGAUUCUCUCCUUCGUGGCACUCGCGACAGGAUUUUAUUGUUACUGCACACACACAAGUAGCAAAUUAUUGAGCCUUGCAAAAGGAAUUUGCCUCUUCCCUUCCUGGGGUUGAGGGACAUGUAGGGAGAAGCAUCACAUUCCACCACCCAAGACGUGUGAGGAGGGUCCGAGACGCACAGAUCUCUGGGCUGGAAGCAGCUCCGAGGCAGCUCAGUGCCUCUGCUGCACGGCCUCUCCGCAGGCGAUCCAGCCGUGUCCAGGCUCUCUGUCGGAGGAGAGAGGGUGAAAAUUCCUGGUCACAACGCGAUGUGGAGGAUGAGAGUCCAGUUAUGGAUCUUGUUGACAUCUCUAACCAGUCUGACGUCUUUCUGACUCGAAGCAAAGAAAAGGCAUCUCAGUGCAGGCGAUGGCUCUGUGUGGGACAGGGGGACAUCAAUAAAGCCAAAGACUGUGGGGCUGCUAACAGGAACAAGAGACUGUAGAUUCACCUGAUGUUGUUAUUUCGUGUUUACAAUAUUUAUUUUUAGUAACUGACUGCUAUUAUAUUAUAGAGAGGCUUCCUUAUUUUUGUACUUCUCCUCCCGGUUUCCUCAGUGUGGUGGUGUACCUCUCACCUCCCUUCGCCACAAUUGCUGCUCCGAGUCAAUGACAAAUAAAAGAGAUGAAAAAAAAAACCCAGCUCCCCAUUUUCUGGGGUUAGUUGUGAUGUGUUUGGGUUUC